CCUACGGGGGGCUGCAGUGGGGAAUAUUGCGCAAUGGUCGAAAGACUGACGCAGCGACGCCGCGUGGAGGAUGACGCCCUUCGGGGUGUAAACUCCUGUUGCUCGGGACGAAACCUCCUUUCGAGGAGACUGACGGUACCGAGUGAGGAAGCACCGGCUAACUCUGUGCCAGCAGCCGCGGUAAUACAGAGGGUGCGAGCGGUGUCCGGAAGCAGUGGGCGUAAAGGGCGCGUCGUCGGCAGCGUAAGCGGAAAGCUCGGGGCUCAACCCCGAGUCUGCCGUGCGAACUGCCGAGCUGGGGCACGGUAGAGGCACAUGGAAUUCCGGGUGUAGCGGUGGAAUGCGUAGAGAUCCGGAAGAACACCGGUGGCGAAGGCGGUGUGCUGGGCCGUAGCUGACGCUGAGGCGCGACAGCGUGGGGAGCAAACAGGAUUAGAUACCCUUGUAGUC
rnacentral:rRNA from 1 species